rnacentral:misc_RNA from 1 species
GAAAUGCGAUAAGCAAUGCGAAUUGCAGAAUUCCGCGAGUCAUCAGAUCUUUGAACGCAGCCCGCGCCGGAGAGAUAUCUCUUCGGCAUGUUUGUUUCAGUGUGUUUGGUUGACUUCACAAAGCUCAAUGCGAUUGAACUCCCCCCGCCCGCAAGGGAGAGAGGAGAGGUCUCUCGUGAAAAGCGAAGGCGUGGGACUCGCCCGCCAACGAUGUGGUCACUGUCUAACAGUGAAUUCGUUGGGCUCAUCGGACUUGUCAUUUAAUAUGUACGUCUUAACCCCCAAUCAAACUCUUCAAUCUGCACCUGAAAUCAAGCAAGAACACCCGCUGAACUUAA